rnacentral:rRNA from 1 species
UAAAGCGCGCGUAGGCGGAUAUUUAAGUCAGAUGUGAAAUCCCUGGGCUCAACCUAGGAACUGCAUUUGAUACUGGGUAUCUAGAGUAUGGUAGAGGUGAGUGGAAUUUCAGGUGUAGCGGUGAAAUGCGUAGAGAUCUGAAGGAACAUCAGUGGCGAAGGCGACUCACUGGGCCAUUACUGACGCUGAGGUGCGAAAGCGUGGGUAGCAAACAGGAUUAGAUACCCUGGUAGUCCACGCCCUAAACGAUGUCAACUAGGUGUAUGGGAGUUUAACUCCUGUGUUCCAAGCUA